rnacentral:rRNA from 1 species
UACGUAGGGGGCAAGCGUUGUCCGGAAUUAUUGGGCGUAAAGAGCGCGUAGGCGGUCCGAUAAGUCGGCUGUGAAAGUCAAGGGCUCAACCCUUGAAAGCCGGCCGAUACUGUCGGACUAGAGUCCGGAAGAGGCGAGUGGAAUUCCCGGUGUAGCGGUGAAAUGCGCAGAUAUCGGGAGGAACACCAAUGGCGAAAGCAGCUCUCUGGGACGGUACUGACGCUGAGACGCGAAAGCGUGGGGAGCGAACAGG